CAGUGGCGAACGGGUGAGUAACACGUGGGCAACCUGCCCUCAGCUCUGGGAUAACUCCAAGAAAUUGGGGCUAAUACCGGAUAUGACUGCUGACCGCAUGGUCUGGUGGUGGAAAGAUUUAUCGGCUGGGGAUGGGCCCGCGGCCUAUCAGCUUGUUGGUGGGGUAGUGGCCUACCAAGGCGACGACGGGUAGCCGGCCUGAGAGGGUGACCGGCCACACUGGGACUGAGACACGGCCCAGACUCCUACGGGAGGCAGCAGUGGGGAAUAUUGCGCAAUGGGCGGAAGCCUGACGCAGCGACGCCGCGUGGGGGAUGACGGCCUUCGGGUUGUAAACCUCUUUCACCCAUGACGAAGCGAAAGUGACGGUAGUGGGAGAAGAAGCACCGGCCAACUACGUGCCAGCAGCCGCGGUAAUACGUAGGGUGCAAGCGUUGUCCGGAAUUAUUGGGCGUAAAGAGCUCGUAGGCGGUUUGUUGCGUCGGCUGUGAAAACCUGAGGCUCAACCUCAGGCCUGCAGUCGAUACGAGCAGACUAGAGUGUUGCAGGGGAGACUGGAAUUCCU
rnacentral:rRNA from 1 species